rnacentral:rRNA from 1 species
GAGACUCUGUGCGCGUGCAUAUCAAUAAGCGGAGGAAAAGAAACUAACAAGGAUUCCCUUAGUAACGGCGAGUGAAGCGGGAAGAGCUCAAAUUUGAAAUCUUCAAGGUUUUACCUUGACGAAUUGUAGUUUAAAGAAGUGUUUUCUGUUGAAGUUUUGGUAAAAGUUCUUUGGAAUAGGACAUCAUAGAGGGUGAGAAUCCCGUAUUUGACCAUUAUUUUCAGCUGUGUGAUACACUUUCAAAGAGUCGGAUUGUUUGGGAAUGCAGUCCAAAAUGGGUGGUAAAUUUCAUCUAAAGCUAAAUAUUGGCGAGAGACCGAUAGCGAACAAGUACCGUGAGGGAAAGAUGAAAAGAACUUUGAAAAGAGAGUUAAACAGUACGUGAAAUUGUCAAAAGGGAAGCGUUUGACACCAGUGUUGUUUUCUCGAAAAUCAAUUAAAAAGAGUUGGAUUUUGUGUUGUAUUGACCUUAACAGCUUGCUUCACUCUUUUCUUGCUUUUCUUAAUGCACUUUUCGCUUAACAAGUCAACAUCAGUUUCUUUUGUUGUAAAAGGGUCAUUGGAAGGUGGCUUUCUCUUCGGAGAAAGUGUUUAUAGCCUUUGAUCUCUGCAAUCGGAGAGACUGAGGUCUGCAGCGUAGAUCCUUCGGGGUUAGAUACAUUUGUGCUAAGCUACAGCUUUUCAUAGACAACUUGUUGACUAUGUUUAGUCAUUGUAGCUUACCUCGCUUAUGCUAUUUUACCUACGCUUAGGAUGUUGAAUCUGUGCGAGACUAC